rnacentral:rRNA from 1 species
UACGGAGGGUGCAAGCGUUGCUCGGAAUUAUUGGGCGUAAAGGGUAGGUAGGUGGUCUCAUUUGUCUGGGGUGAAAUCCUUGGGCUUAACUCAAGAAGUGCCCCAGAAACGGUGAGACUAGAGUACUGUAGAGGCAGGCGGAAUUCCGGGUGUAGCGGUGGAAUGCGUAGAGAUCCGGAAGAACACCGGUGGCGAAGGCGGCCUGCUGGGCAGUUGCUGACACUGAGGCGCGACAGCGUGGGGAGCAAACAGG